rnacentral:tRNA from 1 species
GAUUGCCCAAAUGAUAAGGCGUCUCCCUCCUAAGGAGAAGACUGCAGGUUUGAAUCCCGUCGCGAUCG